AGUGAACGCUGGCGGUAGGCCUAACACAUGCAAGUCGAACGGCAGCACAGUAAGAGCUUGCUCUUACGGGUGGCGAGUGGCGGACGGGUGAUGAAUACAUCGGAAUCUACUUUUUCGUGGGUGAGAACGUAGGGAAACUUACGCUAAUACCGCAUACGACCUACGGGUGAAAGCAUGGGAUCUUCGGACCUUGCGCGAUUGAAUGAGCCGAUGUCGGUUUAGCGAGUUGGCGGGGUAAAGGCCCACCAAGGCGACGAUCCGUAGCUGGUCUGAGAGGAUGUUCAGCAAAACUGGACCUGAGAACCGUCCCAGAUCCCUACGGGAGGCAGAAGUGGGAAUUUUGGAACAAGGGGCGCAAGCCUGACCAAGCCAGACGGCGGGGGUGAAGAAGGCCUUCGAGUGGUAAAGCCCUUUUGUUGGGAAAGAAAAGAAGCAGGUUAAUACCCCGCUGUUCUGACGGUACCAAAAGAAUAAGCACCGGCUAACUCCGG
rnacentral:rRNA from 1 species